GUCUGGGCUCCUGCAUUCCUCCUUUCAGCUGAGGAGGGCGGGCCUUUCAUUCAAUCCACAAGGCUGGUGCCUUUCAUCAGCACAAAAUUCUAUUUCAGGAGGAAGGGGAAAAAUAAAUCAAUCAGAAAACCAAGAUGGAAACGCCUUGAAAUUUGGAGCUGCUCUGUAAUAAAUGAUGAAUGAUACAUCCUGUCUGUCUGAUUGCUGUGAGGGUGCAUCCACCCCAGCAGGGAAAAGGAACUUCAUCUGGGGAUACAUUUCAGAAGAAUACAUUUUAAAGGUUUACUGGUCUAGAAAGAGAGAGGGAGCAAACCCCUACAUUAUCCUUCACCAGAGGAGACAAAGAAAACCAGCGCUUUGGACUCUGGGGAUCCUGACUAAAAGCUGGUCAGCAUUGCUGGAAACAGAAGAUUGAUGAGGAAAUUACCUCGUACAAAGGCUGUAGCUUGUUAAGUUAGGUCUUAGCUGUUAGCCUAUUUUUACUUUUGUUUGUAACUCUUUCUACCUUUAUACCUUCUCUUUGGUAUCACUUCACCUAUGUCCUUUUGUUAAUAAACUUGUUCUGUUUUUACUAUAAA